ACUGUCACGAUGCAAAUCUGGUGCGUGAUCCGCCGCUUGCUAGCGCUGGUGCAGCUCGUCGUGGCAGUCUGGCUGGCGACGGCGAGCAGCUGCCUCUGCCGGCGCUUCAUCCCACCCUGCGAACACACGCCGGCGCCGCCAACACUGACGCUGCCGCCGCCGCCGGGCGUCCCUCCUCCUCCGCCGCCGCCACACCGUUACCCUCCGAUCUGCUUCCGUCCGUACUGCCAUCCACCGCCGAUCUGCCCGCACUGCACGCCCGGCGGCCACGUCCCGCCACCGCCGCCGCCGCCAACUCUGCCGCCACCGACGGGCACCCAUCCUCCUCCUCCACCGCGACACCACCCUUUCCCUCCAUGGUGCAUUGGCGGCCGAUGCAGUUGUCCAGAGAGAUAGCAAAUCGAAUCCAACAGAGCACCGGAUGAACCGACUGAGGAACGAGAGUACUCUAUCCUGCCUGUGAUGAGUGAAUUGUCAACCGUGCGGUG